rnacentral:rRNA from 1 species
AUUGAACGCUGGCGGCAUGCUUUACACAUGCAAGUCGAACGGUAACAGGCCGCAAGGUGCUGACGAGUGGCGAACGGGUGAGUAAUGCAUCGGAACGUGCCCAGUCGUGGGGGAUAACGCAGCGACAGCUGCGCUAAUACCGCCUACGAUCUAUGGAUGAAAGAGGGGGACCGUAAGGCCUCGCGCGAUUCGAGCGGCCGAUGUCAGAUUAGGUAGUUGGUGGGGUAAAGGCUCACCAAGCCAACGAUCUGUAGCUGGUCUGAGAGGACGACCAGCCACGCUGGGACUGAGACACGGCCCAGACUCCUACGGGAGGCAGCAGUGGGGAAUUUUGGACAAUGGGCGCAAGCCUGAUCCAGCAAUGCCGCGUGCAGGAAGAAGGCCUUCGGGUUGUAAACUGCUUUUGUACGGAACGAAACGGUCCUGGUUAAUACCCGGGGCUAAUGACGGUACCGUAAGAAUAAGCACCGGCUAACUACGUGCCAGCCGCCGCCGUAAUAC